rnacentral:rRNA from 2 species
UACGAAGGGUGCAAGCGUUACUCGGAAUUACUGGGCGUAAAGGGUGCGUAGGUGGUCUUUUAAGUCUGUUGUGAAAUCCCUGGGCUCAACCUGGGAAUGGCAGUGGAUACUGGAAGGCUAGAGUGCGGUAGAGGGUAGUGGAAUUCCCGGUGUAGCAGUGAAAUGCGUAGAGAUCGGGAGGAACACCAGUGGCGAAGGCGGCUACCUGGACCAGCACUGACACUGAGGCACGAAAGCGUGGGGAGCAAACAGG